rnacentral:rRNA from 1 species
GAUGAACGCUGGCGGCGUGCCUAAUACAUGCAAGUCGAGCGAACAGACGAGGAGCUUGCUCCUCUGACGUUAGCGGCGGACGGGUGAGUAACACGUGGAUAACCUACCUAUAAGACUGGGAUAACUUCGGGAAACCGGAGCUAAUACCGGAUAAUAUAUUGAACCGCAUGGUUCAAUAGUGAAAGACGGUUUUGCUGUCACUUAUAGAUGGAUCCGCGCCGCAUUAGCUAGUUGGUAAGGUAACGGCUUACCAAGGCAACGAUGCGUAGCCGACCUGAGAGGGUGAUCGGCCACACUGGAACUGAGACACGGUCCAGACUCCUACGGGAGGCAGCAGUAGGGAAUCUUCCGCAAAGGGCGAAAGCCUGACGGAGCAACGCCGCGUGAGUGAUGAAGGUCUUCGGAUCGUAAAACUCUGUUAUUAGGGAGGAACAAAUGUGUAAGUAACUAUGCACGUCUUGACGGUACCUAAUCAGAAAGCCACGGCUAACUACGUG